GACGAACGCUUGCGGCGUGCUUAACACAUGCAAGUCGAACGGAAAGGCCCUGCUUUUGUGGGGUGCUCGAGUGGCGAACGGGUGAGUAACACGUGAGUAACCUGCCCUUGACUUUGGGAUAACUUCAGGAAACUGGGGCUAAUACCGGAUAGGAGCUCCUGCUGCAUGGUGGGGGUUGGAAAGUUUCGGCGGUUGGGGAUGGACUCGCGGCUUAUCAGCUUGUUGGUGGGGUAGUGGCUUACCAAGGCUUUGACGGGUAGCCGGCCUGAGAGGGUGACCGGCCACAUUGGGACUGAGAUACGGCCCAGACUCCUACGGGAGGCAGCAGUGGGGAAUAUUGCACAAUGGGCGGAAGCCUGAUGCAGCAACGCCGCGUGCGGGAUGACGGCCUUCGGGUUGUAAACCGCUUUCGCCUGUGACGAAGCGUGAGUGACGGUAAUGGGUAAAGAAGCACCGGCUAACUACGUGCCAGCAGCCGCGGUGAUACGUAGGGUGCGAGCGUUGUCCGGAUUUAUUGGGCGUAAAGGGCUCGUAGGUGGUUGAUCGCGUCGGAAGUGUAAUCUUGGGGCUUAACCCUGAGCGUGCUUUCGAUACGGGUUGACUUGAGGAAGGUAGGGGAGAAUGGAAUUCCUGGUGGAGCGGUGGAAUGCGCAGAUAUCAGGAGGAACACCAGUGGCGAAGGCGGUUCUCUGGGCCUUUCCUGACGCUGAGGAGCGAAAGCGUGGGGAGCGAACAGGCUUAGAUACCCUGGUAGUCCACGCUGUAAACGGUGGGUACUAGGUGUGGGGUCCAUUCCACGGGUUCCGUGCCGUAGCUAACGCUUUAAGUACCCCGCCUGGGGAGUACGGCCGCAAGGCUAAAACUCAAAGGAAUUGACGGGGCCCCGCACAAGCGGCGGAGCAUGCGGAUUAAUUCGAUGCAACGCGUAGAACCUUACCUGGGUUUGACAUGGAUCGGGAGUGCUCAGAGAUGGGUGUGCCUCUUUUGGGGUCGGUUCACAGGUGGUGCAUGGCUGUCGUCAGCUCGUGUCGUGAGAUGUUGGGUUAAGUCCCGCAACGAGCGCAACCCUUGUUCACUGUUGCCAGCACGUUAUGGUGGGGACUCAGUGGAGACCGCCGGGGUCAACUCGGAGGAAGGUGGGGAUGACGUCAAGUCAUCAUGCCCCUUAUGUCCAGGGCUUCACGCAUGCUACAAUGGCUGGUACAGAGAGUGGCGAGCCUGUGAGGGUGAGCGAAUCUCGGAAAGUCGGUCUCAGUUCGGAUUGGGGUCUGCAACUCGACCUCAUGAAGUCGGAGUCGCUAGUAAUCGCAGAUCAGCAACGCUGCGGUGAAUACGUUCCCGGGGCC
rnacentral:rRNA from 1 species